rnacentral:lncRNA from 1 species
AGCUUCAGAGCAGAGACCAGAGCCCAGAAAGGAGCAGAUGCUAGAUUUGCAAGAUCAGAAGCAGGUCUUGAUCCUCCUGCCCAGAAUGAACCAGACUUGAUGAUGAUGCCACCUUCAGGAGCCACCACACUGUGUGACAGUGGGGCAUUUGGGCCGUCCCUGGGAAGUACAGAUGCGCUGCUGUCACACAUUGUGGUGGCUCCUGAAGGUGGCAUCAUCAUCAAGUCUGGUUCAUUCUGGGCAGGAGGAUCAAGACCUGCUUCUGAUCUUGCAAAUCUAGCAUCUGCUCCUUUCUGGGCUCUUGUCUCUGCUCUGAAGCUCUGGAGAGAGGUCUAAGGUCAGAGGGGCGCUCUCUUCCAGGUAAGACUCCCUCACAGAGGCCCCCUGCUUCCUGCCUCACAAGGGCUGGUUUGUUUCAAGGCAACUGGGACAUGGAUCUGAGAAAUAAAUUCAUUUUAGGGGCAAAAAGUCUGACUCUUGGAAUUCAUUAUAACGUUAGACUUCAAGGACAGAAAGCCUGACAAUGCAGAGGGGGCCAGGCACCUCUGUCUGACCCAAGGGACCUGAAGAGACACUAGAAAUCCCAGGAUACAUGUGACACACGGUGGGAUUCCAUCCACAUCCUUUCCUUUACAUCCCUGGGGACGGAGGAACAGGC